UCCUUGGUCACUGCCAAUUUCCGUUCAAGUAACAUCCUUAUUUGGACAAAGCGACGCCCAAUCACUCCAUAUAUAUGGACUAAAACAAUAACAUAAAUUUAGCUCUUCUGUACCUGAUGAUGGCUGCUUGUGUUGCAACCGAAACGUCGUACGCUAUUAUGUUAUUUUAUUAUUUCUUUAUACGUGACUUUAGUGGGGGUCGUGUCCCCGCAAGUGGCGUCAUGUCAUCUCCCCCCCGCGCGCUUCCGCGUGACGUCGCGAGAUCCGAGUUGCUACCCGUUUUGCUGGCCACAUGACGAGGCUACAAGAUUACCUUCCAUGAAGAAGAAUGGGACAAUAUCCUUUUGAUGGCUAAGGAACAUGGAAACUCUAACAUCACCUGCCAGGAGAUUCCACUGCUGCAGUCUGCAGCCCAACAGCGCUGCCUUACUCUUGGGUAGUUAACAUUUUUGACAAGGUCUUUCAGUUCACUUUGUGUUAUGAGGUGUGGUUCAGAGGAGGAGGAUGGAAGAAAAUCUGGAUCAUGUGACCUUGAUGGUUCAGGACCAGAAGAUCCAUCCUCUUCCUUGUCUGACUCAAGUGAGAAUGAUUCUGGUGCAUCAGGAACCAGCAGUCCUUCUCCGUGGCGUACUGGACGUAUAGCUGAUGGAAUGUUUGGAAAAUGCACAGUCCACUUUUUUGUCUUUGACACCUUCCCCAACUGGAGGCACCAUGCAGAAGUAACAAUUGCUUAUAUGACCUGUUGGCAUAUAUUUAUUUUUCCUGUUCAACAACUGGCGAAGAUUUGUUGCACAAGUGUAGUGACAUAUAUUGGGUCACUACGGCGCUCAUCGCCAGUUACUGAUAAAGAGAACUGGAGUGUAGAUAGCCCUCUGUGGCAGCAGGGUGUGCUAUGGCACCAAAGAGGGUCCCUGAGGGGCAUAGCUCUGGUGGCUGGCGGGAAGAGGGCAUGUAAGGAUGUAGCAGCCUGAUUGGCUGGCGUGGACAUGUGACCGGACAGCAAGGAUGUGGACCAAGGGUGAGGUAAUGGGACAUGUGGUAUAGAGCCCGCGGUCUUCUGGUAAGUGCCAGAAGGGAGGCGUGGUCAAGGUGGAGCGAGGCCAUGCUGGGGGGCAUAAAAGCUGGGUCCCGGGGUCCGAUCGGGGUUGUCUUCUGGAAUGGAACCCGCUGUGCUAUGUUGCUUUGGUCUUCGCGCUCCGCAUCGUGGGUCAGGCAGUGUGUUAACUUACCUGACCCGGUUAUAUAGUUGCCCCGUGGUGGUUACCACUAUAUCAUAUCCCGUUAUGUGGUUAUGUAGUUACCCCGUGGUGGUUGCCACCUAUAUAGUUAUCCCGUAUACGUUUAUAUAGUUACCCCGUUGUGGUCAGGAAAUAAAUGUGUUGCCUCCGAA